UCUCUGAUGGCCCAGUGGCUAAGACUCUGUGUUGCCAAUUCAGGGGACCCAGGUUCGAUCCCUGGCCAGGGAA
rnacentral:tRNA from 1 species